rnacentral:rRNA from 1 species
AUGAACGCUGGCGGCGUGCCUAAUACAUGCAAGUCGAGCGAACAGACGAGGAGCUUGCUCCUCUGACGUUAGCGGCGGACGGGUGAGUAACACGUGGAUAACCUACCUAUAAAACUGGGAUAACUUCGGGAAACCGGAGCUAAUACCGGAUAAUAUAUUGAACCGCAUGGUUCAAUAGUGAAAGACGGUUUUGCUGUCACUUAUAGAUGGAUCCGCGCCGCAUUAGCUAGUUGGUAAGGUAACGGCUUACCAAGGCAACGAUGCGUAGCCGACCUGAGAGGGUGAUCGGCCACACUGGAACUGAGACACGGUCCAGACUCCUACGGGAGGCAGCAGUAGGGAAUCUUCCGCAAUGGGCGAAAGCUUGACGGAGCAACGCCGCGUGAGUGAUGAAGGUCUUCGGAUCGUAAAACUCUGUUAUUAGGGAAGAACAAAUGUGUAAGUAACUAUGCACGUCUUGACGGUACCUAAUCAGAAAGCCACGGCUAACUACGUG